AAAACUGAGUCUGAAGGCGGUGCGAUACAAACAUCUCUGUCAACCAGGGAGGCUGAGAUCCCUCAAGAAACCCUGAUAGAUCCGCUUGAAAUCACUCAUGAGCAUGGUGGCCCGAUGAACAGAAGCACAUUGAACAAGACUGGAGCCCCUGUCAGGACCACAAGGACCCUGAUCACCCUCAGAUCAAAGUGGAAGAGUUUACAUCAUCUAGUCCUCAGGACGAGACCAACCACGAAUACAAACUCCCUCCUCAGUCGGAGAGGUGUGUGUGCGUUUAUGAUGAGCCUCAUUCUACCGGUCCCAGCCACGACCAGACUGUGACCAGUCAAACAAAGAGACAAGACGCUGACGGAGGAGGCUGCAGAGCUUCUCUGCCCUUCUACUCUGAAAUCAAAGUAAAUACGGAGAGAAUGCAGAAGGUGUGGUGAAUGGAGAAUGUAUGAAUGCGCUCACACCAACAGGAACAAGGCCAAAGAAGUUGUGCAGUGAAGGUGGAAACUGUAUUGGAGAGGAAGAAUACAUGAGUGAUAUCACCAGGGAGAGAAGACACACUUGUCCAAUGUGUGCAAAAAAGAGUCGAGCCAUUUGCCAUCCUGAGUGGCCAAAGAAACAGUUCAUGUUUGAAUUAACAUGUGUGGCAACAAAACCUUAUUGUGGUCAGUUGUUUUUUUUAAAUCCAGUUAAAGUCAUUCUCCUCUAAUAUACAGGGUGCUCAUACAAGUGUGUCAUGUAUACAUUGUUUUCUAAUGUUAAAGGUCACACAUGUCACAUCAUCUAAACCUGCUACAUUUAUUUAUAAACCAAGGGAUGGGGAUGCAUUUGUAGCACUGUAUUUCCUACAUUUGUAAUCAAUCAGAGCUUGCAUUAUGAAAUUAAAUGAGUUCAGGUGUAU